GAGUUUGAUCCUGGCUCAGGAUGAACGCUGGCGGCGUGCCUAAUACAUGCAAGUCGAGCGAACAGACGAGGAGCUUGCUCCUCUGACGUUAGCGGCGGACGGGUGAGUAACACGUGGGUAACCUACCUAUAAGACUUGGAUAACUCCGGGAAACCGGGGCUAAUACCGGAUAAUACAUGAAACCGCAUGGUUUCAUGAUGAAAGACGGUUUUGCUGUCACUUAUAGAUGGACCCGCGGCGUAUUAGCUAGUUGGUAAGGUAACGGCUUACCAAGGCAACGAUACGUAGCCGACCUGAGAGGGUGAUCGGCCACACUGGAACUGAGACACGGUCCAGACUCCUAUGGGAGGCAGCAGUAGGGAAUCUUCCGCAAUGGGCGAAAGCCUGACGGAGCAACGCCGCGUGAGUGAUGAAGGUCUUCGGAUCGUAAAACUCUGUUAUUAGGGAAGAACAAGGGUGUAAGUAACUAUGCACCCCUUGACGGUACCUAAUCAGAAAGCCACGGCUAACUACGUGCCAGCAGCCGCGGUAAUACGUAGGUGGCAAGCGUUAUCCGGAAUUAUUGGGCGUAAAGCGCGCGUAGGCGGUUUUUUAAGUCUGAUGUGAAAGCCCACGGCUCAACCGUGGAGGGUCAUUGGAAACUGGAAAACUUGAGUGCAGAAGAGGAAAGUGGAAUUCCAUGUGUAGCGGUGAAAUGCGUAGA
rnacentral:rRNA from 1 species